UACCUGCGCCCCGGCUCUCGCCGCCGCCGCCGCCGCCGCCGCUGCUCCCCCGCGCCGCCAGAUCAGACCAUCCCCAAAUUGGCACUCCCAUCCGGAACUUGCAGAAUCAUUCCUGAGAAGAGCCGGCCCGCUUCAUCACCUCCCAGCAGGAGUUCCUGAAUACUAAGAACUGAGUUAAGAACUCAGUUAAGAACUGCUCAAGAAACAGUGGACUAGACAACAGCUCCAUUGCCUCUUGACAUAUGGGAACCUCAAAGCACCAGGAUGCACCCAAGCCCAGAGCCUCUCCAGACCACUGCUGUAUGACUUCAGCCAAAGAGCUCUGCUCUAGAACUGUUUGUUCCUGUCUUCAUCACUAGAUCACAGCAAUUUGUACAUGCCAUCUCUGUUUCAGAGAGAGUCUAUUUUCAGCUGCCAAUCCACCACCUUUUUUCCAAACCUUAAGUCAAAUAGUUUCUCCUGAAGAAAAAAAGAGAAUCACAAAACUGACAGUUUUAUUUGAAAGCAAGCAUAGUUAUAUAGGUUUUGAUUUUGGGGGUUUUUUGGUCCGUUUCAGACUGUCAGUAGCUGUUAAAGAGAAAGUCAAUCACCUGCCGUCUGUUAAAGAUUCUUCCGUUUUGGCAUGAAAGGGAUUUGGGGAACAUUUAUUUAACAAUUUUUUAUUGUCCCUACUGGGCCAAGUUGGGACUAUCCAAGAGUGGACAAGAUACACUCAAGAUCUUUGCUUUCAAGGAGUUGAGUCUAGUAAGAAAGACAGACAAGUAAUCCUGGGAAUUUGAUCAUAAGCCUCUGGAAUAUUCAUGUUCAUUGUAUAACAAGCAUUCUUUAAUGUUUUGAACUCUAACAUUUUGGACAUUAUUUUUAUCAUAUUUCCGUUGAACAAAGGUGACUCAAGCCUCUGAUCAUCUCUGCUCUGUACUGGAGGUGGAAAAUGUCAGCGAGGAAUCCUAACAAUCAGUUCUCCAGUAAAUGCAGGCUCAAGUGGUUAAUGAACAGUUUCAAUAUUGAGCAUAAAUGACACCUCUUCUACACCCUUUUUUCCUGUCCACCAUCUUUGUGUGCAUAGCAAACGGAUUUCUAGUAUAGCAAAUGUGACGCUUUCUUACACAUAUUUGUUUACCUAUCUAUUAGACCACCGAGUCAAGGACCACUUCUCAUUUGUAUGUCUUUUAGUCUACUUCUCCUUUAUCUUUGUAUAUCCUGCAAUAUAGCACAGUGUCUAGUGAUUAGAAGAAAGAAUUUAAUGUGUUUCUUAAACUGAAUACAUACAAUUACCUUUGUAUCAUUUUGUGUCUCAUAUCUCUUUCUGCUAGAAACUUCAGGUGAGUUUCUGAGAGUUUUCCUCGAUAUAGCUGCAUGCUCCCUUUGUGCCACUUAAUCCAAUAUUCAAUAUUAAACAGGUUUAUAAAAACUAAUAUUUAUUGAGCAUUUGCUGUAUGCCUGGAAUUGGGCUAAAUAUUUUAAAUGUGUUAUCUAAUUUAUCAUCUCGCUAACCCUCCGGAAUAAGUAUAUUAAUAUAUUCACUUUUUAGAUAAGGAUACAGACUUAGGGAGGGUAACUUGACCAAGUGGCAGAGCAAGAUUCAAAGUCAGGUCUGCCCAACAAAAGGAUUCGUUGACUCCCUACAGCACACUGCCUCUGCUUUUCACAUCAUUUGUCUGUGAACCCAAAUCUUUCCACCUCCAUGAAGUCUUUUCUCCUUUUAUUAAGUACAGUUCAGUGGUUGUUGUUAGAUUCACAAAGUCGUGCAACCAUCACCACAAUCAACUUUAGAACAUUCUCAUCAUCAAAAAGAAGCCUCAUAUCCUUUGUCAGUCACUCCCCAUUCUUCCUGUUCCCUGCUCCUCCCAGCCCUAGACAAGCACCAAUCCACUUUCUGUCUCUAUAGAUGUCCCUCUUCUGGACAUUUCAUAUGAAAGGAAUUGUGCACUAUAUAGUCUUUUGUGACUGGCUUCUUUUACUUCAUACCACGUUCACAAAGUUUGUUUAUCCAUUCUUCAGUUUGCAGAUAUUAGGGUUCCUACUUUUGGGCGAUUAUAAACAGUGCUUCUGUGAACACUCAUAUACAAGUUUCUGUGUCAGCAUGUGUUUUCAUUUCUCUUGGGUAUUUACCCAAGUGGGUCGUAUGAUAACUCUAUGUUUAACCUUUUGAGGAAUUGUCAGACUGUUUUCCAAAGUAGCUGUACCACUUUUUUCAUUCCCAUUUGCAAUGUAUUGAAUACGAGUCUUCUUGUCUCCUCUAGAACUUAUGGCUCCACUCCUUGUCAGGGUACUUUCCAUAGGCCAUCUUUUUUUAAUGUUAGUUACUUUUGUUAUGUAUGUGUCUGCAGACCCACCGUGCUAAUAGAUUGUCACCUUCUGAAAUGAGAAACGUGGUUCCUGCCCUCAAGAAGAUCAAAUUUGGUGAAAGGUAUGGAGACUCAAACAGAGUGAGAAUAAGCACUGAAAUUAAGGUUAUUGUUGAAAUGUGGAGGAGGAACACCUCAUUCACCCUGCACUAAACCAGAAGUAUUUCUUAUAAAACAUAAAGCUCAAGAUGAGUUUUGAAGAAUCAGUAGGAAUUGGCCAAGCUUGGAAGAGAUGAAUGUGUGUUCCAGAUCAAGGAACAUGUACCUUUAUAUGUAUUUCCUUACCUAUGAACUGUUGAGGGGUCAUCCAACAAGCACAAAGCUCAAGACAAUUCCUCAGUGAUUGUUGCAAGGAACUGUCUUUCUGAGGAGAUAAGUGAAGAUGCAUACAAUUCCUUCUGCUUUUAACAGUCGUCUUGUGACGAUGAAGGAGACCCGUCUGAGGGCAAAAGCAGAUACAGAUUGUAGAACAAACCUGAUUUAAAUCAGAGAAAUGGAGCCAAAGCUUUGAUCAAAUCAGUUCUAAAGCUUCCUUCCCCUCCAUGGAACUUUUCACUUACGUAAGCGAUUUCCACUUAUUAUUUAAUCCAUUUUAAAUUGGGUUUUCUGUUACUUUCAAUCACAAGUGUUUUAACUGGUAGAAAGAUUCUGUCUUUCUGUCUUCGUUUUAAAUGUCAGAAAUUAAAUUGUCCUUUUCUUAAAAUGGAAAAGAACCUUACUUUCCUUCUUUCCUUUGAACAUGCUCAUGCCUGAGUGAGAUUGAAAAUGAGCCACUGUCCCUGAGAGCAGUUCUUUCACGUUCAUAUGAUACUCAGCUUUCACAUUAAACCAAUAGGAAACUAUUUCAAAUAUUGAUUUGUAACAUUAUGUAUGAAGGAUGUAAAUAAUAAACUGUGAAAGCUUUAAGUAAGCACCUUUCUGGCCCUUCCUUCAAUCAAGUCUCCUUUGAAUUCUGUACAGGAUGUAACCCAUUUAUAAAAACUUCAUUCUGUAGGAGAUAUGUGAUCCCUAACUUCACACUUUUGUAAAUUGCCAUUAGGUCACCAUGUGGGUUUGCACAGUUUAGCUUA